rnacentral:rRNA from 1 species
UACGUAGGGCGCAAGCGUUGUCCGGAAUUAUUGGGCGUAAAGAGCUCGUAGGCGGUUUGUCGCGUCUGUCGUGAAAGCUUGGGGCUUAACCCUAAGUCUGCGGUGGAUACGGGCAGACUAGAGGCAGGUAGGGGAGAACGGAAUUCCCGGUGUAGCGGUGAAAUGCGCAGAUAUCGGGAGGAACACCGGUGGCGAAGGCGGUUCUCUGGGCCGAUACUGACGCUGAGGAGCGAAAGCGUGGGGAGCGAACAGG